AUUGAACGCUGGCGGCAGGCUUAACACAUGCAAGUCGAGCGGGGUGAGGUGCUUCGGUACUGAUCCUAGCGGCGGACGGGUGAGUAAUGCUUAGGAAUCUGCCAUUUAGUGGGGGACAACAUUCCGAAAGGAAUGCUAAUACCGCAUACGUCCUACGGGAGAAAGCAGGGGAUCUUCGGACCUUGCGCUAAAUGAUGAGCCUAAGUCGGAUUAGCUAGUUGGUGGGGGUAAAGGCCUACCAAGGCGACGAUCUGUAGCGGGUCUGAGAGGAUGAUCCGCCACACUGGGACUGAGACACGGCCCAGACUCCUACGGGAGGCAGCAGUGGGGAAUAUUGGACAAUGGGCGGAAGCCUGAUCCAGCCAUGCCGCGUGUGUGAAGAAGGCCUUUUGGUUGUAAAGCACUUUAAGCGAGGAGGAGGCUACCUGGAUUAAUACUCUGGGAUAGUGGACGUUACUCGCAGAAUAAGCACCGGCUAACUCUGUGCCAGCAGCCGCAGUAACAC
rnacentral:rRNA from 1 species